GACGAACGCUGGCGGCGUGCUUAACACAUGCAAGUCGAACGAGACGAUUUAGAAGCUUGCUUUUAUUGAGUCGAGUGGCAAACGGGUGAGUAACGCGUAGACAACCUGCCGCAAAGAUGGGGACAACAGUCCGAAAGGACUGCUAAUACCGAAUGUUGUAUCUCCUCCGCAUGGAAGAGAUAUUAAAGAUGGCCUCUACUUGUAAGCUAUCGCUUUGCGAUGGGUCUGCGUCUGAUUAGCUAGUUGGUGGGGCAAACGGGCCUACCAAGGCGACGAUCAGUAGCCGGUCUGAGAGGAUGAACGGCCACAUUGGAACUGAGACACGGUCCA
rnacentral:rRNA from 1 species